AUUGAACGCUGGCGGCAUGCCUUACACAUGCAAGUCGAACGGCAGCACGGGAGCAAUCCUGGUGGCGAGUGGCGAACGGGUGAGUAAUAUAUCGGAACGUGCCCAGUCGUGGGGAUAACGUAGCGAAAGCUACGCUAAUACCGCAUACGAUCUAUGGAUGAAAGCGGGGGAUCGCAAGACCUCGCGCGAUUGGAGCGGCCGAUAUCAGAUUAGGUAGUUGGUGAGGUAAAGGCUCACCAAGCCGACGAUCUGUAGCUGGUCUGAGAGGACGACCAGCCACACUGGGACUGAGACACGGCCCAGACUCCUACGGGAGGCAGCAGUGGGGGAUUUUGGACAAUGGGCGCAAGCCUGAUCCAGCAAUGCCGCGUGCAGGAUG
rnacentral:rRNA from 1 species